rnacentral:rRNA from 1 species
AAUUUAAGGGCCGCGGUAUUACUAACCGUGCAAAGGUAGCAUAAUCAUUAGAUUUUUAAUUGGAGUCUUGUAUGAAUGGUUGGACAAAAGGAAUACUGUCUUUAUAUUAAAAUUGAAUUUAACUUUUAAGUGAAAAGGCUUAAAUAAUCUAAAGGGACGAUAAGACCCUAUAAAGCUUUAUAUUAUAAUUAUAUUUUAUUGAGUUUAUAAAUAAAUUUUUAAUUUAAUUAUUUAUUGUGUUGGGGAGAUAUAAAUAUAAUUUAUAUUAACUGUAAGAUUAUAAAACAAAUAUUAAUGAA